UUCCAAGUUAAGACGGGAAGGAGCUAC
rnacentral:piRNA from 1 species